rnacentral:misc_RNA from 1 species
AUGUUACCGGACCCUUUUAGCGUCUCGUUUCGUCAUUUUCCUCACCAACGCGAAGCAGGAGGGUUCACAUGCACUAACGCGUCGCCGCCUCCAUCAUCCAGCAGAACACCGCUCAUUACAGGCCGGCACACGCGCCCGUCGCACCUCGCAGCCGUCAUGUCAGAAAGCCUCCCUGGCGUGCUGUGCUUCCUGGGGCUCAUCGUCUUCUUCGUGGCGGACUUCUUCUACGCCAAGAAGCUGAACGAGCAGAAGAAUGCGCACCCGGAAUUGGACGACUGCGCCCCGGCCACGUCGCCAGACCUCGACACGAUUGCCGUGCUCGACUCCCUCACCGCCACUGCCGUCGACUUCUACCGCCACGAGCGACAGCGCUUCACCGGGGUGGCAGCGCCCGCCAGCCCGAACGAGUACGCAGCAGUCGGCGAGAAUGGUGUGAGCGAGGAGCCGGCCGCAAACCACGACUUUGGCGACCAGACAGGCAAGACGGUGAUGCACACAAUUGUGGUGGUGUGCAGCAUUGCCGCGCCGCUGCUGACUGUCCUCGUGGCUCUCAUGCCCUCCCUCUUUGGGUGGACGCGCUUCGGGGUGCAUUCAUCCAUCGCCUACCUCGCCGCUGUCCCGGGCAUGGCCGCUACCGGCUUCUACGCGAUGCGCUCCUACGAGCUGACGCAGGUGUUCGAUGUUACCAAGACGGAGUGGAUCGCGAUGAUGUGGCUCCGCCUAGACGCCAUCUUUCUCAUGUCCGCCGUCGCCUUCUUUGGUGUCGGGGCGUGGGUGGUGGCCGGCUGCAUGGUGACCACGGCUAUGUACCUGGCACACCGGCUCAUGAGGAUGGAGAAGCAGCUGAACCGCGUGCAGCGGCACACGCAGCUGGUGCGCGACGAAGUGGACGUGACGCGCGUGCUCGUGCCUGGAACGGCGGAGUCCAAGAGGGCGUCUGGUAUCAACGACGGGUAUAGCGCGCUCUCCUCGUAGUGAAGGCUUCAUAACGGAAGCGGCACACGUAUAUCGCUCUCCUGUACGUGCGUAGGGUGUGUACGCAUGCGCCGGCUGCCAUCUUGGUUGUUCUCCCCACUCCGACGAUGAGUGCUUGUCGAUGGAACGGCUCGUGUCAUUGCUUGGUUGCUGUUUUCUUCUGUAUCCGUGCGCAGUGGAGGUGGCAACUACGGUCCUUGAUU